CGGUGGGAAGCAGGAGGGACCACCCGCCAAGGCUAAAUACUAACUAGUGACCGAUAGCGUAUAGUACCGUGAGGGAAAGGUGAAAGGAACCCCGGGGGGGGAGUGAAAUAGAACCUGAAACCCGGCACUUACAAGCUGUGGAGGCACAUUUCUGGUGUGACCGCGUACUUUUUGGAGAACGGGCCAACGAGUUACGUUAAGUAGCAAGGUUAAGCACUUAAGGUGUGGAGCCGUAGCGAAAGCGAGUUUUAACUGAGCGUUCAGUGACUUGACGUAGACCCGAAACCGGGCGACCUACCCAUGAGCAGGAUGAAGCGAAAGGAAAAUUUCGUGGAGGUCCGAACACACGAGCGUUGAAAAGCUCGGGGAUGACUUGGGGGUAGCGGUGAAAUUCCAAUCGAGCCCGGAGAUAGCUGGUUCUCCACGAAAUAGCUUUAGGGCUAGCCUCAAGGUGAGAGAUACGGAG
rnacentral:rRNA from 1 species